UGAAUUAUGAUGACGGAGCCAGUAGGAAUGACUGACUGUUUUAGCGAAUCAGGGUUGGUGAAAGCCUGAUACAGCAAGCCAUUCUGAACAUCACUCCUGAGUAUCCGCUUUGAAGCCGAGUAGAAGCGGACGAUUGAUUCACGUUACGAAUUUCGAGUGAAUUUAAAUGAAUCGGUUGAUGAUGUUUAAAUUUAUGAGGGUGGUACCGCGAGUCUUCUCGUCCCUUUG
rnacentral:ncRNA from 1 species